AUGCAAGUCGAGGGGCAGCGAGGGCGUAGCAAUACGCCUGUCGGCGACCGGCGCACUGGUGAGUAACACGUAUGCGACCUGCCCCCUACAGGGGUAUAACCCGUAGAAAUGCGGACUAAUCCCCCAUAGUCCUGGGUGCUGCAUGGCAUUCAGGGGAAAGGCCAGCCGGUAGGGGAUGGGCAUGCGGCGCAUUAGCUAGUUGGCGGGGCAACGGCCCACCAAGGCGACGAUGCGUAGGGGUUCUGAGAGGAAGGUCCCCCACACUGGUACUGAGACACGGACCAGACUCCUACGGGAGGCAGCAGUGAGGAAUAUUGGUCAAUGGGCGCAGGCCUGAACCAGCCAAGUCGCGUGAGGGAGGACGGUCCUACGGAUUGUAAACCUCUUUUGUCGGGGAGUAACGUGCGGGACGCGUCCCGUAUUGAGAGUACCCGAAGAAAAAGCAUCGGCUAACUCCGUGCCAGCAGCCGCGGUAAUACGGAGGAUGCGAGCGUUAUCCGGAUUUAUUGGGUUUAAAGGGUGCGCAGGCGGCGCGCCAAGUCAGCGGUCAAAGUUCCGGGCUCAACCCGGUGUCGCCGUUGAAACUGGCGUGCUCGAGUGCGUGCGAGGAAGGCGGAAUGCGUUGUGUAGCGGUGAAAUGCAUGGAUAUGACGCAGAACUCCGAUUGCGAAGGCAGCUUUCCAGCGCGCUACUGACGCUGAGGCACGAAAGCGUGGGGAUCGAACAGGAUUAGAUACCCUGGUAGUCCACGCAGUAAACGAUGACUACUAGCUUUCCGGGAUGAUUGAGUCCUGGGAGGCACAGCGAAAGCGUUAAGUAUCCACCUGGGGAGUACGCC
rnacentral:rRNA from 1 species